rnacentral:rRNA from 1 species
AUAGCGGAGGAAAAGAAACCAACAGGGGAUUGCCCUAGUAACGGCGAGUGAAGCGGCAACAGCUCAAAUUUGAAAUCUGGCUCCUUUGGGGUCCCGAGUUGUAAUUUGCAGAGGGAGCUUUUGGCGUCGGUUCGUGGUCUAAGUUCCUUGGAACAGGACGUCACAGAGGGUGAGAAUCCCGUACGUGGCCGCCGGCCUUCGCCUUGUAAAGCCCCUUCGACGAGUCGAGUUGUUUGGGAAUGCAGCUCUAAAUGGGAGGUAAAUUUCUUCUAAAGGCUAAAUACCCGCCAGAGACCGAUAGCGCACAAGUAGAGUGAUCGAAAGAUGAAAAGCACUUUGGAAAGAGAGUGAAAAAGCACGUGAAAUUGUUGAAAGGGAAGCGCUUGCGGCCAGACGUGCCCGCGGUUGAUCAUCCAGGCUCCAGCCUGGUGCACUCCUCCGCGGGCAGGCCAGCAUCAGUUCGGGCGGUCGGAUAAAGGCCUCUAUCACGUACCACCCCUCGGGGUGGCCUUAUAGGGGAGGCGCAACACGGCCAGCCCGGACUGAGGUUCCGCGCAUCUGCUAGGAUGCUGGCGUAAUGGCAGCAAGCGGCCCGUCUUGAAACACGGACCAAGGAGUCUAACAUCUAUGCGAGUGUUUGGGUGUCAAGCCCGAGCGCGCAAUGAAAGUGAACGGAGGUGGGAACCCUUACCGGUGCACCAUCGACCGAUCCUGAUGUCUUCGGAUGGAUUUGAGUAAGAGCAUAGCUGUUGGGACCCGAAAGAUGGUGAACUAUGCCUGAAUAGGGUGAAGCCAGAGGAAACUCUGGUGGAGGCUCGCAGCGGUUCUGACGUGCAAAUCGAUCGUCAAAUUUGGGCAUAGGGGC